GAUGAACGCUGGCGGCGUGCUUAACACAUGCAAGUCGAACGGAAAGACCCUACCUUUGUGGGGUGAACGAGUGGCGAACGGGUGAGUAACACGUAAGCAACCUGCCCUUGACUUUGGGGUAAAUUCAGGAAACUGGGGAUAAAACCCGAUAGGAUAUCCUGAAGCAUGGUGGGGAUUGGAAAGUUUCGGCGGUUGGGGUUGGACUCGCGGUUUAGCAGCAGGUUGGUGGGGAAGUGGCUUACCAAGAAUACGAUGGGUCGUCGGCCUGAGAGGGGGACCGGGCACCUGGGGACUGAGAUACGGGCCAGACUCCUACGGGAGGCAGCGGUGGGGAAGAUUGCACAAUCGGCCGAAGCCGGGUGCGGCAACGCCGCGUUCGGGAUGUCGGGCUUCGGGUUAAGAACCGCUUUCGCCUGAGACGAUGCGUGAGUGACGGUAACGUAUAAAGAAGCACCGGCUAACUACGUG
rnacentral:rRNA from 1 species